CCUCGAAUAUGUUUUGUAU
rnacentral:snRNA from 1 species